rnacentral:lncRNA from 1 species
GAUGGUUUAACCAUUGCCACAGGUGUUGUUACAGGGUGGUUUAACCAUUGCCACAGGUGUUGUUACAGGGUGGUUUAACCAUUGCCACAGGUGUUGUUACAGGGUGGUUUAACCAUUGCCACAGGUGUUGUUACAGGGUGGUUUAACCAUUGCCACAGGUGUUAUUACAGGGUGGUUUAACCAUUGCCUUAGGUGUUGUUACAAGGUGCUUUAACCAUUGCCACAGGUGUUGUUACAGGGUGGUUUAACCAUUGCCACAGGUGUAACAGGGUGGUUUAACCAUUGUCACAGGUGUUACAGGGUGGUUUACACAGGUGUUGUUACAGGGUGGUUUAACCAUUGCCACAGGUGUAACAGGGUGGUUUAACCAUUGUCACAGGUGUUACAGGGUGGUUUAACCAUUGUCACAGGUGUUACAGGGUGGUUUACACAGGUGUUGUUACAGGGUGGUUUAACCAUUGCCACAGGU